rnacentral:rRNA from 1 species
AGCGAACGCCGGCGGCAGGCCUAACACAUGCAAGUCGAACGAAGUCUUCGGACUUAGUGGCGGACGGGUGAGUAACACGUGGGAACGUGCCUUUAGGUUCGGAAUAACUCAGGGAAACUUGUGCUAAUACCGAAUGUGCCCUUCGGGGGAAAGAUUUAUCGCCUUUAGAGCGGCCCGCGUCUGAUUAGCUAGUUGGUGAGGUAAUGGCUCACCAAGGCUACGAUCAGUAGCUGGUCUGAGAGGAUGACCAGCCACAUUGGGACUGAGACACGGCCCAAACUCCUACGGGAGGCAGCAGUGGGGAAUCUUGCGCAAUGGGCGAAAGCCUGACGCAGCCAUGCCGCGUGGAUGAUGAAGGUCUUAGGAUUGUAAAAUCCUUUCACCGGUGAAGAUAAUGACUGUAGCCGGAGAAGAAGCCCCGGCUAACUUCGUGCCAGCAGCCGCCGUAAAAC